AUUUCUGCUUCAAUCUGAUUUCGUUUUUUAGGUCAUAUUCUUGUUGUAGAUGUCCGUUUUGGGCGAGCCUUAGCUCGUUAGAAAGCGGAGAGAGAGAUUUUCAAAUUUAUUGAAGGAGUCAGAGCCAGAUUUGGAACAGAAGAUGCUUAAAAACAGGGGAGAAAUUAGAAUAGCAAAUAUUUUCUGUUUACUGCUUUUGAAUUUCCCAAUUGAUUAGGGAUUCUUUUUCCUUUUGGAGGUGUUACAGCAGCUAGGAGGCACGUUUUUCUUCUCUUAGUUCAUCUAUUAAUCUAGGUUUUUGUUCUUUAUUCUUUGUUUUGGUGAUUGGAAGCCAUGAUUAUGAGUGGCUAAUUUCUUUACACCAAUUCAAGGGAUUUAUCAUCCUUGCACUUUUGUGAGACUCGGGUUUUAAAUGAGUAGUUUCUUCUUGAAUAUCUGUUGUUUCUUGUUCUUAUUGAGUUGAUUCUAUUGAAUUCUUUGCUAAAAAGGCCUAUUAGUGAAUUGUUUGGUAGGAUUAAGUGCUAUUUCAGAUUUCAUAAUCCGUAAUUGUUAUGAAAGUUUGAAUGUUAGUAGCAAUUAGGUAUUACUGAUUAUAUUU
rnacentral:lncRNA from 1 species